ACCUCUUCUAGUACCUUCGGCUCUUCCUUCGGAGCGAGCCCUCGUAUCGCAUGGUCUCUCUUCUCCACCGCGAGCCAAACUCAGAUCUCUUCCCUUCGAAGCGUGCUGAACGCCAUUCGAGCAAUCCCUUCGCUUCGCAGUGACCCGUCCGCCCUCUUUGGAGAGGAGGAGGUACGAUGGAGGUGGAAUUUUCAUCGAAAUGCACGACCUCCCGCUGGUCUGUAUGAGGAGAAGAGCCCCUCGUGGAGGAAGAAGCUCGCAAGAAGUUUAUUUAGACUACUAAAUACUCUGAUCAAUUACUUGGGAAAUAAUACAAAAGAAAGUGAAGACAAUUGAGGGAUUCAACCUGAUGGAAAAACUGUCUUCAAGAAAGUGUUACUGAGAAGGUCAAUUGUGAAACAUCAUCAACUUCUGGAGAUAAUAUAGAGAAUGGAAAUCAAGAGGCAAAAUCAAAAGAUGAGGUGUCUACUUCUGCUAAGGUUUGAUUGGACUCUGCUUAUCUCUUUGUGAUAUCCCCCAGGCAGCUUUAGACAUUUCUUCUUGUUCUUUUUCUCCCUACAAAAACAAGUCAACAACCUUGAUUAAGUGAGGUCGGCCAAAACAGAGCAACUCUACUUGAUCUCCGCUCCCAGAAUUGCACCGGAGUGUAAGCAAGCUGAGCCUCCGCACCAGAUUCGGCCGCCGCCGUCUUGCUGUUCUUCCUGUGGAAGAAAGUCAAAUUUUUAUGAUGCGUAUUUUUACUUCUCAAACACGAAUCCAACGCGAUCACAAAUUUCAUUUUGGCGGUUUAUGUGAAUAAGUGAAACAUGUAGGGGUGGUAAAGCAGAGUUGAGUUCUGGGAUAUCUAAAUUUAUUUGAUAAGUUAAUUAAGUCCAACUGAACUUGUUUGAAAUUUGUCUUAAGCUUUCAAUUCAAGUUUUAUUUGAGUUUA